rnacentral:rRNA from 1 species
ACGCUCGACACCUACGGGGGGCAGCAGUGGGGAAUAUUGCACAAUGGGGGAAACCCUGAUGCAGCGACGCCGCGUGGAGGAAGAAGGUCUUCGGAUUGUAAACUCCUGUUGUUGGGGAAAAAGAGGAUGGUACCCAACAAGGAAGUGACGGCUAACUACGUGCCGGCAGCCGCGGUAAUCUGAGCGGGCUGGCAAGGC